GGAAGAGUCAGGAAGGGGACUCCCAGGUUUCUGCGUGCUGUCAUCCAGCAGUGAUACCACUGCUAAGAUCAGAAACCGAGCCUUGAGAACAGGUUUGAGGGGGGCGUGGGGGCAGCUGAGCAGGAAGGGCCUCGGGACCUCGGAGCCGAGAUGUUCAGCUGGCAGGAUUUCCACCAACUGCUCCUCUCUUGCUUUCCCAAUGAUUCUUUCAGGCCACGCUGCCCAAGCCCUGGGACAAGAAAAAUCAUUCUGCUGCUUCCAAUGAUCUUACCGUGCUCCCUGCCUUAACGAGCCAACACACUGUCAUUCAUCAAGUUGCUGAGGACUCUGCCCACUGUGCCAUUUCCCCCUGGUUGUUUCAUUUUGUUCUGCAGUCCUGGGAACUGGACCCAGGGCCUUUGCUCUGAGCUACAUCCCCAGAUAGUUAUCAUUAUUAUUAUUACUACUAUUGAAAUAGGGUUGUGCUAAAUUGCCCAGGCUGAGCUCAGAUUUGAGAUUGUCAGCCCAGUGUGGUGGUGCACACCUGUAAUCCCAGCACUCAGGAGGCUGAGGCAGGAGGAUCUUUGCAAGUUCGAGACCAGCCUGGGCUACAAAGUGAGCUCAAGUCCAGCCUGAACUGCAUAUGAGACCCUGUCUCAAAAAGAACAACAACAACAAAAAAUCCGGCACACACACACACACACACACACACACACACACCCUCACUCACAAAGACUGACAUGAAAGCUCAAAGCAGACCUUCCCAUUAGGUUUAAGAACUUUCACUGCAGGAGGACGGCUAUUGUGAUGACAGCACUGUUACCCCACACAGCCUUCUUCCCACGGAACACAAGCCCUUCUGGGACCUGGCCUCUGCCCUGUUCUGCUCAUCUGCUGCCAACACCGCCCCAUCCUCUUCCCAGACCCGGGCCCAGGCUUCCUGAGCCUCCCUGUUCCUGUCUGGCCCGUGACACCAGCCCUGCUUCUCACGCCGUCCCCAGCUGCAGGUUCCCGCAGCAAACGCUCUCUCAGCCUUCAGGGCUCCUUCAGUGCUUCCCUGUCUGUGAAGGCUUCUCCUCCACGCUCCUGCUCCAUCUCAGCUGCUGCUGCUUUUCUUGCCUUCUAGAAUUUACAGCAACGCAGUUCCCACAGCAGUCUUUGCCGAGAGGGCUCGAUUCAAUAGCUUGGUUAGCAAACCCCGCAGCGGCACGUCUCACUCCCAGAGCAAAGCGAUCGCGGGUGCUCGAGGGCACACGGGCUGACGGCGCCGCAGCGGCCAUGCCCUGGCCUGAGCAUCCUCUCUUCGGACCCAUUUUCUCCCGGACAAUUUCCUUUAUUAAACGGCUGCAGCUGCAAUUAACAGUGGGAGAACCCAAGCAUGUGUCUGGGUCCGAGAGGCGUCCUAUGUGAUUUUUCAAAUACUUUGGGUUUGGCAAAAGCCAAGACACAUUCUGUCAAGUUCUAUUUUCCCCUUCGUCUUUAAACCCGUGUGUAUUCAAGAGAAAUGUGGUCCAUCUGAUUCUCAUUCAUUUUCGCUUAACUCAACAAAAAGUUGUCUUGGAAGCACCAGAAAAUGUCCAAGCAGCAAAUCCAGCCGCUCUAACGGAAGCCUGGUUAGAGCACGGGUGGCUCUCGACCCCGGACAGCCCGACACCCUCCGGGCAGGCCGAGCCUCUCUUCUGCACUCUGCUCUGGCACUGGCUCAGCAAGCUGGCCUUGCCCUGGCCCUCCGCCCUGUCCCUGCCUGGUGACUCUGCUCCUCCAAGCCGGGUCCCGGGUCAGCUCCUGCGAGAGCGCUUUCCUCAUUGCCCGACCUGUAAAUAACCGCAGCGUCCUCUGAGUUCCCUGCGACAGGUCCUCCUCCUGCCACGGAGUCCUCCCCUCCAUCCCGCUCUGAGCUGCAGUCGGUCGGUGAACUGAUGUCUGCUUGUGUUAAGCCCUUGACCUUAAUUAAAGGCCUUCACGAGCAAUGGCAGACAAAAAUUGGCAUUUGUGGUAAAGCUCUUGCCAAAAACAUUCAUUAUUGUGUCUAUCAAUGUCCCUCUGUGGGCAGCCAGGUGAGAAGUGAACUUGAGGUUUCAGGACAGAAAUAAUCAUGGACUUCUUCCUCUCUGAUAAUGAGCGCUGGGGAACUUAGCUUGUUCCUUUUUUUGGCUUGGCUGCCAGGAAGCUGAGAGACUGAUUUGAUGUUUAAUCCUAGCAACUAUAUCACAUGCCAGCUUCCUUUUUUUUUUUUUUUUUAUGGACUUUGUUUUCUAUUUCUAUAUUAUUAACAUUGUAAAGGAAAAGAAAACAAAUUUCACCGUGAGUUACUUUGAAGUGUCUGUAAAAUGGCAGAGUAAAAUAUUAAGAAGCUAUUCAGGAUGGUUUCAUCUGCAGAAUGGGUCUAGUACUUAGGACUUAAGAGGAAAUGUUUUGUUUUAAUCUUUUGUUUGUUCUUGGAGACAGGGUCUCUCUAUGUAUUUCAGGCUGACCUUGAACUCAUAGUAAUCCUCCUGCCUUAGCCUCGAAGAGUACUAGGACUACAGGUGUACACCACCACACUUGGCCUGUUUUUAAUCCUAAGAAAUUCAUGGAGAGGGGCAGUGUGAUGGUGCACACCUCAGGAGGCUAAGGCAGGAGGAUCUUUUUUGAAUUUGAGAUCAGCCUGGGCUACAUAGUGAGUCCAAGUCCAGCCUGAACUACAUGAAAACAACCCAUCUCAAAAAAGAAAGAGAUAGGGAGGGAGAGAAGGAAGGAAGGAAGGAAGGAAGGAAGGAAGGAAGGAAGGAAGGAAGGAAGGAAGGAAAGAAAGAAAGAAAGAAAGAAAGAAAGAAAGAAAGAAAGAAAGAAAGAAAGAAAGAAAGAAAGAAAAAAGAAAGAAAAUAUUGGGUACUAUAUUAAAAUGAAAGCAGAGCCAGUAAGAACUGGGUGGACAAGAGCUUUUUUCUUCUUUUCUUUUCUUUUGAUAUUGGGAAUUGAACUCAGGACCUCGCACUUACCAGGCAGGUGCUUGUGCCGCUGAGCUAUAUCCCUGGCCAACAACAGGUCUUUUCUAAUGGUCAAAGCAGCUUCCCAAGCUCAGCUUUCAGCAGAGCUGCAUUGGGGCUGUGGAACACCUGUCUUGAAAGCCAGCAGCUCUGGAGUUCCCCUCACUUCUCAGGUUGAGAAUAUCUAGGCGGGGGUCAUCCUGACGACCGAGGUCAAGAACUAAUCUAGGUCUGAGGUGAGCUCGGCGGCGUAACACUUGCCUAGAACGUGCGAGGCCCUGGGUGCACUUCCCAGCACUGCAGGAAAAUGGAACAGAACUGAUCUAAUACCAGAUGAAUGUUCUGAGCCACCAAGGACUCGCUCCACUCCCUCCUCCACGUCACCGAGGAGGAGCUGGACCUGGAAGCAGCGAGGACAGACCCGAGCUCACGUGCCUGGGAGCCGAGGGAAGACUGCAGGACAGGCCUUCCAGCCCCGGGGCUCCGCAGGGCGCCCUGCCCUGGGCCGGACAGGACCACCGGCCGGCUGCUCCCCGCCUCCCCGGCUGGGGGCAGAGCUGAUGUGCUGCAGCUUUGCUUUCAGAUCGGCUGUUUGUGAUCCAGGUACACUGACUGCAGCCUGUUACCUCUCAGGGCUUUUCCUCUUCCCACCUACGUGCAGUAUCUGGCACUAUUUUUUCCUUUAAAUAUCAACUAAGUUUUUAGGUAAUCCAAACUGACUGUGUCAGAGUGUUGCUACUGCUGUUGUUGGGUUUUUGGGGGUUGGUUUUUUUUUUUUUUUGGUCUUUUUGAGACAGUCUCUUUAUGCAGUUCAGGCUGGCCUUGAGCUCACUCUGUAGCCCAGGCUGGUCUCGAACUCACAAUGAUCCUCCUGCCUCAGCCUCCCAAGUGCUGGGAUUACAGGUGCACGCCACCACGCCCGGCUUGUUGUUGUUUUUUGAGACAGGUCUUUCACUGGGUCGUCCAGGCUGGCCUCGAAUUUGCCAUGUCAUCAUUACACACCAAUCAAAAUAAAAAGUUUAAAAAUCAAAAAAAAAACUGCAGUGUAGCCCAGGCUGGUCUCCUGCCUCAGCCUCCUGUGUGUUGAAAUUAUAGGUGUUUGCUGCCACACUCAGCUCACAGUGGUCUUAAAUCCCAAGAUAGGAAUACUUGGCCGGCACCUCAGCUCCCUGAGGGCAAGAACUAUGUCCUAUCUGUGAGAUCCCAGUGUCAAAGCCAGUGUCGGGCUCACAGUAGGUCAGCAAAAUCAGAUUCCGUCUGAAAUCACAAUUUGAAGUUGGAACCACAAAGAGCCGAAUUAGAGUUCUUGGGCAAAAGCUUACAUGGGCCUCAGUGGGCCUCGAUAUCAAUAUUGGGGGCAGGGUUGACACAUGAUCUCACUGUAUAGUUCAGGCU
rnacentral:lncRNA from 1 species